CCCUUAGAUGUUCUGGGCCGCACGCGCGCUACACUGAAGCAUUCAACGAGUUUCUUCCUGGUCCGAGAGGAAUGGGUAACCUUUUGAAAGUGCAUCGUGAUAGGGAUAGACUAUUGCAAUUAUUGGUCUUCAACGAGGAAUUCCUAGUAGACGUAGUUCAUCAGACUGCAUCGAUUACGUCCCUGCCCUUUGUACACACCGCCCGUCGCUCCUACCGAUUGAAUGCUCAGGUGAGCCAUUCGGACUUUCAUCAUGCUGGUUUCCAGUUUUGAUGAAGGAAAGUCUUGCGAACCUUAUCAUUUAGAGGAAGGAGAAGUCGUAACA
rnacentral:rRNA from 1 species